UCAAUAAGCGGUGUAAGUUCUGUAUGUGCACAUGAAUAUUUCCAUAUCAAUACGCGGAGUAAGUUUCCCUAUACGCGUAGAAAUAUUUCUAUCGCCUUUUCGCAGUCGAAAUCCUCAUUCUCUCGAUUCAAUCAUUCAAACUUUCAAUAACGGAUCUCUUGGUUCCGGCAUCGAUGAAGAACGCAGCGAAAUGCGAUAAGUAAUGUGAAUUGCAGAAUUCCGUGAAUCAUCGAAUCUUUGAACGCACAUUGCGCCCCCUGGUAUUCCGGGGGGCAUGCCUGUCCGAGCGUCAUUUCUGCCCUCCAGCCCGGCUGUGUGUUGGGUGUUGUCCCCCCGGAGACACGCCCCAAAGGCAGUGGCGGCGCCGCGUCGGGUCCUCGAGCGUAUGGGGCUUUGUUCACCCGCUCGGGACGGACUCGUCGGCGCUGGUCUUCCUCCAGGCGACCCUAUCGGGCCCGUCCUCCUUUGGUUGACCUCCGAUCAGGUAGGGUUUCCCGCUGGAUUUUAGCAUUAUCACUAGCGGAAGUA
rnacentral:rRNA from 1 species